GGUAAGGGAGGAAGGGGCGCGGUGAAAAGAAGAGGGGACGCGUGUGGGCUCGUGGAGCAGCGGUACCGGCAGCAGCUAAGUGCGCGGGUGGUAGCUGGAGCCCGGGUUCCUGGAACAGGUCUUCUUGGCCGUGGCAGACGAUGUAGCGUAUACGGCUGGUCCAGCUCAACCCUAGGGGUAGUUGCUCGCGUAGUAGCAGAAGAAGGAGACGGGCAGCCGCUAGAGGAAGCUAGGCGACGGCAAGCAGGUGGGGUCGCAGGUGCUCGGCAGGCGUGCUGGAGUCCUACAACCUCGGGUCCUCGGUCUGCGGUGGUAGCUGCUGCUGAGGAUGCUGUGACGUCCACGGAUGAUGAUGCACGUCCGGCGACUUCUGCUGGUCCUCAUCAAUCCUCCUAGGGUCCGUCCUCCGGACGCGGAGCAAGCUAGACAUAGGGUCAAACACGAUCGGAAGAAUUCCGUUUGAACAAAUUGAAUACAGACAUAAGUCUAUAACAACGAAGGCGACUGAGUAGAUACUAGCUCGUGAACAUAAGCUCGGGAGCUCCGGGGACCGAACAUAAUACUACGAACAUACUG
rnacentral:rRNA from 1 species